rnacentral:tmRNA from 2 species
GGGGAUGCAAAGGUUUCGACAGGGCCAUGAGGUCAUAGGUAGCAGGCCAGGAUGAUCGCUGUGAGAGAUCAACUCAUCGUUUAGAUGGAAAUAACGAAUACGCUUUAGCUGCUUAGUUGUCAGCUCACCUCUGUUUUUUCUGUUCUGUGGGAGAAAACUUUCGAGGUGUUACCAAUACACAGAUUACCUAUUGUGAUUUCUCUAAACAAUUAGGGACAUUUUAGAGGAUAGCUUUAGUUAGCCCUGUCUGUGGGAGUAACUAUUGCAAAAUUUAAUAACAGACUAAGCUUGUAGAAGCUUAUGGUGCUUAUUGUUUUGGACACGGGUUCAAUUCCCGUCAUCUCCACCA